rnacentral:lncRNA from 1 species
CUGGGGCGGGGAGACAGGGGGCGGCUCCACUCCGGCGCUCUGCGGAGGACAGCAGCGAUCGCCAAGGCUCAAGGGGUGUCAACCAGGAACCUUGUGAUGCGUGAGGAAAAAAUAUUACCUUUUCCCCCUACUCUUUCUGGCACCCAACAAACAAGUGGGGUGGCAAAGACACCCCACUUGGGACAACUGGCAAAAGGCUGGAGUGCAGUGGCAUGGUGGCAUGAUCUUGGCUCACUG